CGUGGAUUAUCUACCUACUGGUACGGGACAACAGUUGGAAACGACUGCUAAUACCGUAUAAGCUGGUAACGGGAAAGGGGGCCUCUUCUUGAAAGCUCUCGCCAGUAGAUGAGUCCGCGUUUCAUUAGCUAGACGGUGGGGUAACGGCCUACCGUGGCAACGAUGAAUAGCAGGCCUGAGAGGGUGGCCUGCCACACUGGGACUGGAACACGGCCCAGACUCCUACGGGAGGCAGCAGUGGGGAAUAUUGCGCAAUGGACGAAAGUCUGACGCAGCGACGCCGCGUGGAGGAUGAAGGUUUUCGGAUCGUAAACUCCUGUCAAGAGGGAAGAAACCUAUCGAAACUAAUACUUUCGGUAAUUGACGGUACCUCUAGAGGAAGCACCGGCUAAUUCAGUGCCAGCAGCCGCGGUAAUACUGAAGGUGCAAGCGUUAAUCGGAAUCACUGGGCGUAAAGCGCUCGUAGGUGGCUUUGUAAGUCAGGUGUGAAAGCCCACGGCUCAACCGUGAAUUGCACUUGAUACUGCAUCGCUAGAGUAUAGGAGAGGGAAGUGGAAUUUCUGGUGUAGGAGUGAAAUCCGUAGAGAUCAGAAGGAACACCCGUGGCGAAGGGACUUCCUGGACUAUUACUGACACUGAGGAACGAAAGCGUGGGGAGCAAACAGGAUUAGAUACCCUGGUAGUCCACGCCGUAAACGAUGGGUACUAGGUGUCGGGGGCUUGACCUUCGGUGCCGUAGUUAACGCGUUAAGUACCCCGCCUGGGGAGUA
rnacentral:rRNA from 1 species